rnacentral:rRNA from 1 species
UGCAGUCGAGCGAAUGGAUUAAGAGCUUGCUCUUAUGAAGUUAGCGGCGGACGGGUGAGUAACACGUGGGUAACCUGCCCAUAAGACUGGGAUAACUCCGGGAAACCGGGGCUAAUACCGGAUAACAUUUUGAACUGCAUGGUUCGAAAUUGAAAGGCGGCUUCGGCUGUCACUUAUGGAUGGACCCGCGUCGCAUUAGCUAGUUGGUGAGGUAACGGCUCACCAAGGCAACGAUGCGUAGCCGACCUGAGAGGGUGAUCGGCCACACUGGGACUGAGACACGGCCCAGACUCCUACGGGAGGCAGCAGUAGGGAAUCUUCCGCAAUGGACGAAAGUCUGACGGAGCAACGCCGCGUGAGUGAUGAAGGCUUUCGGGUCGUAAAACUCUGUUGUUAGGGAAGAACAAGUGCUAGUUGAAUAAGCUGGCACCUUGACGGUACCUAACCAGAAAGCCACGGCUAACUACGUGCCAGCAGCCGCGGUAAUACGUAGGUGGCAAGCGUUAUCCGGAAUUAUUGGGCGUAAAGCGCGCGCAGGUGGUUUCUUAAGUCUGAUGUGAAAGCCCACGGCUCAACCGUGGAGGGUCAUUGGAAACUGGGAGACUUGAGUGCAGAAGAGGAAAGUGGAAUUCCAUGUGUAGCGGUGAAAUGCGUAGAGAUAUGGAGGAACACCAGUGGCGAAGGCGACUUUCUGGUCUGUAACUGACACUGAGGC